rnacentral:lncRNA from 1 species
AACAAGGUUCGAUUGGUGCGAGGCGCGAGGCACACGUGCAGAGCAGGUGCGUGCAGGGAGCACAGGCGGACGCACAGGAGAGCGGCAGUGGAGCGACUGCUGGUAGGCCUACGGAGCCAUGCAAGAUGAGGUUCAUCCCUGCGAGCUACAAUAAGGCAGUAAGGCGAUGAGACGUGCUGGGAGGCGCGUGAAACUUUCAAAAGGAUUUAAAAUAUGCGAAAACUCACUAGUGAGAUUCAGUUGACGGCAAAAAGUUUUAGAUUAGCUCUGAAUUGGUCAGAACCACCCAAAACAGUUUGGAGGAUAUCAGACUAAUCUAAAACCUUUGGAAAAUCUGCUUGACAGCAGUUUUACUCCAGUCAAGAGGAUUCCACCUGCACUUUCUUCAGCAUAUUCAUAAUUCUCCUGAAAGAGUAAAAUUAUAGUUAGUCUCUGAAAGUUCUAGAAGCCUAUUUUUAGCCACAUGUUGGAGGCUCCCUCUUCACCACAUGUUUAGGAGGUGUAACGUAGGUAAAUAGGAGUACAUAAAGUUUGCUUUAUUCUUUAUAAAUUUUCAUAUUAUUAAUAAAGUGUUUUGGCUAUUGUUUGUAAACUUUUUAACAUGUUUUUAUUUAGUUUCUGCAACACACCUCUUUUAUCUUGGGUGACAUUCUUUCAGGGAAAGAUUGACUGGUAUACUCAUGGAUGAGUUUAAUAGCGUUGCACGGAUGCUUUGUGUAUAGGAAAAGCAUUAUGCUUAUGACACAAGAAAGUUAGACAAACCAACAGCCAAAAAAAAAUUUAAAUGUACUCUUGCUGAGAAGAGAUGAUAACAUUGGUAUUUAAGGAUCACCAUUUUUAACGUAAUGCCUUAUAUCGAUCCCAAGAGAUGCCUAUCAUAGAAAAACUCCCAACCAACACAAUUAAUAAAGAAAAUACAAAAGAAGAAAGUUUGUUUACACCUCCCAUCCGGAGAGGAAAAACCCGUUCUCUUACUAAAAAGGGAGGAUUUCGCUCAAGGAAAUACAGAAGAAGAAAGUUUGUUCACAC